UAUAAAAGAGUGUUCACAUUAUUCUUUUUUCACAAAUCGUUCAUUUUAUAAUUUGUAAAGUACCUACGAAACAUUUAUACAUUUACAAUGAAACGUACAAUUAUAAUUUCUUUAAUUCUUACUACAGUAUUUGUCCACACAGCAUACGGUAAAUAUAUAAAUUAUUAAUAUAAAUUAUGUUUUUAAAAAAUAAAUUGAAUAAGGGCUAAUACAGGAAGUAUUUCGUAUGCAAUCACAAAAUUGAAAAAAGUGCGUAUGGAAUAUUAAUGUACCGUAUCGUAUUUGCUUAACCUUAAGAUAAUAAUAAUAAUAAAAUACUAUACUAUACUAUAAAAGAACUAAUACUGAGGACACGGGUGCAGACAAUGUUGAAGGUAGAUGAUUGAAAAGGUAGAGUACAUAAAAUAAUUUAAUUUAUGCUCGUAGGCAACAGUAAACUAUUGAUAAAGAAAAAUGUUUCGAAACGAAGUUCUGUUAUAAAUGUUUUAAAAGGCCAUAAAAUUAACGAUGUUUGUUAAAAUUGUAUAUUAACUCUUAUAAAUAAAAAUUAAUUACUAU